GUGGGGAAUCUUCCGCAAUGGACGAAAGUCUGACGGAGCAACGCCGCGUGAGUGAUGAAGGUCUUCGGAUUGUAAAGCUCUGUUAAUCGGGACGAAAGAGCCUAGUGUGAAUAAUGCUAGGAAGUGACGGUACCGGAAUAGAAAGCCACGGCUAACUACGUGCCAGCAGCCGCGGUAAUACGUAGGUGGCAAGCGUUGUCCGGAAUUAUUGGGCGUAAAGCGCGCGCAGGCGGAUCUGCCAGUCUGUCUUAAAAGUUCGGGGCUUAACCCCGUGAUGGGAUGGAAACUACAGAUCUAGAGUAUCGGAGAGGAAAGUGGAAUUCCUAGUGUAGCGGUGAAAUGCGUAGAUAUUAGGAAGAACACCAGUGGCGAAGGCGGCUUUCUGGACGGUGUCUGACACUGAGGCGCGAAAGCUAGGGGAGCGAACGGGAUUAGAUACCCCAGUAGUCC
rnacentral:rRNA from 1 species